rnacentral:rRNA from 1 species
UAUGUGAUCGUCUCUCGCAUAUCAAUAAGCGGAGGAAAAGAAACUAACAAGGAUUCCCCUAGUAACGGCGAGUGAAGCGGGAAGAGCUCAAAUUUGAAAUCUUAAAGGGUUUCCCUUUACGAAUUGUAGUUUAAAGAAGUGUUUUCUGUUGAGGUUUUGGUAAAAGUUCUUUGGAAUAGGACAUCAUAGAGGGUGAGAAUCCCGUAUUUGACCUUUACUUUCAACUUUGUGAUACACUUUCAAAGAGUCGGAUUGUUAGGGAAUGCAGUCCAAAAUGGGUGGUAAAUUUCAUCUAAAGCUAAAUAUUGGCGAGAGACCGAUAGCGAACAAGUACCGUGAGGGAAAGAUGAAAAGAACUUUGAAAAGAGAGUUAAACAGUACGUGAAAUUGUCAAAAGGGAAGCGUUUGACACCAGUGUUGUUUUUCUGAAAAUCAAUUAAAGAACUGUUUAUGCUAAGCUGUUUAGACUUUAUCAGCUAAUCUGCUUAGUUUUGAGCUUUUCUUUAAUGCACUUUUCAGUUAACAAGUCAACAUCAAUUUCUUUUGCUGUAAAAAAGCUUGAGGAAGGUGGCUUGAGAUUCGUCUUAAGUGUUUAUAGCCUCUUGCCUAUGCAGUCGGAGAGAUUGAGGUCUGCAGCGUAGAUCCUUCGGGGCUAAAUGCAUUUGUGCUAAGUUAUAGCAUUUUAUAGACAACUUGUUGACUAUGAUUUGUCUUGUAGCUUACUCGCUUAUGUUAUUUUACCUACGCUUAGGAUGUUGAACGCGCACAGAGUCUC